rnacentral:tRNA from 2 species
GGUCUUGUGUUCAUUUUGUGAUUGUAGAAUGCAAUUCUAUAGGGGUAAGUAAAUCUUACCAAGGCCU